rnacentral:rRNA from 1 species
UUUGGAUCAGGGCUCAGGGUGAACGCUGGCGGCGUGAAUAAUGCAUGCAAGUCGAGUGGGUUUAAACCCACGGCAAACAAGGUAUUAAUAGGUAGGAACUUUCCCUUAAGUCGGGAAUAUUCCAUCAAAAGAUGGCGCAAUACCCGAUGGUCACUGCGGGGUAAAAAUUUAUCGCUUAAGGAGAGGCCUGCUUCGUAUCACCUAUUUGGUAAGGUAACGGCUUACCAAGGCUAUGACCCGUAGGGAAGCUGAAAGGCUGACCCCCACCGUUCGCACUGAAACACGGGCAAUACCUCUACGGAGGGCUGCAGCCAAAAAUAUUCGACAAUGGACAAAAUUCUGAUCAAUCUACCCCGCGUGAUGAAUGAAUUCCUUCGGGACGUAAACAUCUUUUGGAAGGGAAAAAUUCAUUGAUGGUACCUUCAAAAUAAGGGGCUCCAAACUCUGUGCCA